GAGCGCGAAAGUCCCUUCGGGGGCGAGUAGAGCGGCGCAAGGGAGAGUAACGCGUGGAUACCUACCCCCAGGUUCGGGAUAAUGCCCAAAAGGCAGGUAAUACCGAAUGAUGUCUCCGGACCAAAGAUUUAUCGCCCGGGGAGGGGUCCGCGUCCUAUUAGCUUGUUGGCGGGGUAACGGCCCACCAAGGCGACGAUGGGUAGCGGGCGUGAGAGCGUGGCCCGUCUCACUGGGACUGAGACACUGCCCAGACACCUACGGGUGGCUGCAGUCGAGAAUCUUCCGCAAUGGGCGCAAGCCUGACGGAGCGACGCCGCGUGCGGGAUGAAGGCCUUCGGGUUGUAAACCGCUGUCAGAGAGGCGGAAAGCGAAAGCUUGACCUAAUCUCAGAGGAAGUCCGGGCUAAGUUCGUGCCAGCAGCCGCGGUAACACGAACCGGACGAACGUUAUUCGGAAUUACUGGGCUUAAAGGGUGCGUAGGCGGCUCGGAAGGUGGGGUGUGAAAUCCCUCGGCUCAACCGAGGAACUGCGCUCCAAACCGCCGGGCUUGAGGAAGGCAG
rnacentral:rRNA from 1 species